rnacentral:tRNA from 1 species
AUUAAACUUUAAGUACAGGAAC